AAGCCUGAUGCAGCCAUGCCGCGUGUGUGAAGAAGGCCUUCGGGUUGUAAAGCACUUUCAGCGGGGAGGAAGGCGUUAAGGUUAAUAACCUUGGCGAUUGACGUUACCCGCAGAAGAAGCACCGGCUAACUCCGUGCCAGCAGCCGCGGUAAUACGGAGGGUGCAAGCGUUAAUCGGAAUUACUGGGCGUAAAGCGCACGCAGGCGGUCUGUCAAGUCGGAUGUGAAAUCCCCGGGCUCAACCUGGGAACUGCAUUCGAAACUGGCAGGCUAGAGUCUUGUAGAGGGGGGAGAUCGGAAGAGCGUAGGGAAAGAGUGUAGAUCACGGUGGUCGCCGUAUCAUCAAAAAAGGAAAAC
rnacentral:rRNA from 1 species